AUGGGGGAUUUGAAUGACAUCUUGUAUGAUAUUGAUGGUUGUAAUGGCAAUGUGAAUUACUAUCGUAUGCAUGCUUUUCGUUCUCUUGUGAAAAAUUGUGGCUUGUUUGAUAUAGGUUAUAGUGGUCCUGCCUAUACUUGGCGUGGUAGACAACACACUUCCAAUCCUAUUUAUAGAUGCCUCGAUCGUUGUUUAGUUAACUCGGAUUGGUGCACGCACUAUCCUACUACCAAAGUUCUUAAUUUGCCUAUUAUCCUGAGUGAUCAUGCCCCCAUUCUAGUGUCUACUGAAGGUAAUUUUGUCAAGCCUCGACAAACUUUCAAAUUUGAAAAU
rnacentral:rRNA from 1 species